GGUACAGUCAUUACAUUUAUAAUUAUGCCUUCUUUACAACUGGUAUAUAAAUGGUUUCUUUUCUCUUCUCUCACAGGUAUGGGACAGUGUUGUCUCCAGACCCAGAGGGCUGGCUCUGCAGCACCAACAGUUUCCACGCAGCAGUUGUCAAUGUGGGCACCCCCGGCUCUGUUCAACGUAACCUUCCAGGCCACUAAGGAGACAAUGAGGCUCUGGUGGGGACCUGCCUGUCUCAUGUGACGAACAGCUGCUUGCUGGGACUUGUACUGAGCUUCCAGGAUUCUGACUGCUCCACGUUCCUCACUGUGCUGCUGGCACUGCAGAGUUGAUGUCCAGUUUGGGACACUGUUUAGAGCCAAGCCUGUUACCAUUCUCUGUCCCCUUGGCAGACCAGAGAAACCAGGCUGGACCCCUGCUCAGAGGGGGCUCCGUGUGAGCAAGAGAGGGGUUUGGGGCUGUUCCUAGUCGCUCUGGUGGGAAAAAACACCUUGUUCCUCCUUUCUGUCUGGGAACUGGGUUGCUGCUGCUGGAAGCUGGGGAUGGUGCUGUGCAGACCCGGGGCCAGCAGCCUGGCAGAGCACUAGCAGAACCCCAGCAUCAUCCCGGGGCUGAGUGCUGCCCCGGGGUGGGCUGCUGGCAUCCCCGCAGCGGCUGUGCUCCCGGGAUGUAGGUGCUGCGUACAGGAGCGGUGUUGGGAGCGAUGGGCCGGCUGGACGACCACGCCAAGAGGAGGAUCGUGGAGCUGCGCAGGGCCGGGCUGAGCUUCCGCAAGAUCAAGAAGGUUCUGGAGCUGGACGACAUCCGGGUGACGCCGCAGGCCGUCUACCUCUUCCUCAAGCGGAAGAGUGUGGAGCCGGGGUUGGCAGCAGCUGGCUGGGACGGGGACCAGCCCUGGCCCCCGCUGCAGGGACAUGAGGCUGAGCCACCCAAGCUGCCGAGUGCCCGGCUGCCUGGGGUGCCUGGUGAGGGCCCUGUGGGUAGCCGGGCACCCUGCCCUGCUGGAAGCCAAGACACCAAGGAGAGCAUCCAGAUUGUCAGCAGGGCCUUGCUCUGCAAGGACGGUGGGCAGCUCGGGGAGGCCCUGCCCGUAGGACUCCCCCCUGGGAAUGGUGGUGAUGGCUCCAUAGGCACCCCCUCGGCUCUGGGGAGCUGCCCCACUUUGGGGGUCUCGUCCACCCCUCCACAGGCCCUGACCAGCCGAGGGCGGCUGGUUGCACCCUCAGCCAGGAACCCAGCUCUGAUGGUGAAGAAAAAGAUCAUGGACAAGGCUAUCCUCCUGCAGAAAAAGGUCAAAGACACCAGCACUCAGACUCCUUUGCUGAACGCCACAAGUCCUGGCACUGAAAGUCUUGCUUGGGGCGAACCAGUGCUUCCCCCUGCUCCCAACUCACAUGCCAUUGCCGAAAAGCUGGAUGCUGUGCAGACAGAGAUCCAGAAGCUGAGCCAGGCCCUGCAGGCAGUGCUGGAGAGGCAGUGCCGCCUGGAGCGGCAGCAGGAGCAUCAGCAGCGGCUGCAGCAGGAGGUGCUGAUGACGCUGCAGCAGCUCAGCUCCACUGUGAGCCACGGGGCCGUGCCAGCGAACCAGCCCUGUGUCCCCUUCAGCAGCAUGGCCGAGCCCUCACCCACUGUGCCAAACUUCAGCCAGUUCAAGAUGGAGCUCAUCUGACCCCAGGCCACGCCGCUGUGCUUUAGCAGUGCCGCACUGGUGGCGGGAUGAAGCUGGGAAGAACCACCUUUCAGGGGCUGCCUGAGGAUUAUGUGGGGCACCCAGCAGAGAAGGUCCCUGGUGCCACAUGUUUUCAUCCCUGCUGACUGCAAGGGGCUGCCUGGCACAAGAGGCAGAGCAGUGCAGAGCUCAGGACUCACUUCUGCUGUGCUACCCAGCCUGGCUGGCACUGGAGCUGGCUGGUGGCCCGUGGACUUCAGCAGCAUAGACAGGCUCCCUGCAAGCAGAAGAUGCAACUAAGAGAGGCACAACAGGUAGGUGGGUCUCAAAGCAAAGGCAAGGCUUCCUCUCCCAAGGGUCAGUGCUGUGACGAGCAAUCACAGAAACGCUUUGUGCCCUCCCUCUGCAGAGCCUUGUUCAGUAAAACUAUAUACACCAUGGUUCAGAAACAGUGUGGGAUCUCUUUCUUCAUUUUACCUACCCCUUGCCCUACCAGUGAGCAGGCUGGAUCUGUCAUGGGUGCUGUCACCGUGCGCGGAGCUGUGCAGGGUGUUCAUGAGGUGAGACUACCACUCCGCACACAAGGGAUCCUACUGGAGGCCUG
ensembl:lncRNA